AAUGAACGCUGGCGGCGUGCCUAACACAUGCAAGUCGAGCGAGAAAGUUCCCUUCGGGGGGCGAGUACAGCGGCGCACGGGUGAGUAACGCGUGGGUAACCUACCCAGGAGUGGGGUAUAACUCGCCGAAAGGCGGGCUAAUCCCGCAUACGUCCCGCAGACUUAAGUCUGUUGGAGAAAGAUGGCCUCUGCUUGCAAGCUAUUGCUCUUGGACGGGCCCGCGUUAGAUUAGCUAGUUGGUGAGGUAACUGCUCACCAAGGCUACGAUCUAUAGCUGGUUUGAGAGGACGACCAGCCACACUGGAACUGAGACACGGUCCAGACUCCUACGGGUGGCAG
rnacentral:rRNA from 1 species